GGUGGGUUCAAGUGCAGUGGUGUUUACGACUAAUGAUCACAACCAGUUAAAGAUUGCUUUAUUCGUUUUCCACUCCCACCGCUUCACCUGACUACCUUUA
ensembl:Y_RNA Y_RNA Y RNA